AUACGGAGGGGGCUAGCGUUGUUCGGAAUUACUGGGCGUAAAGCGCGUGUAGGCGGAUCGUUAAGUCAGGGGUGAAAGCCCGGAGCUCAACUCCGGAAUUGCCCUUGAUACUGGCGGUCUCGAGGCCGGGAGAGGUGAGCGGAAUUCCCAGUGUAGAGGUGAAAUUCGUAGAUAUUGGGAGGAACACCAGUGGCGAAGGCGGCUCACUGGCCCGGUUCUGACGCUGAGACGCGAAAGCGUGGGGAGCAAACAGGAUUAGAUACCCUAGUAGUCC
rnacentral:rRNA from 1 species